UCGAGGGGUAGCAGGGAGCUUGCUCCGCUGACGACCGGCGAACGGGUGCGUAACGCGUAUAGAAUCUACCUCUUACUAAGGGAUAGCCCAGAGAAAUUUGGAUUAAUAUCUUAUAGUAUGUUAACUUGGCAUCAAGAUAACAUUAAAGGUUACGGUAAGAGAUGACUAUGCGUCCUAUUAGCUAGAUGGUGUGGUAACGGCACACCAUGGCAACGAUAGGUAGGGGCCCUGAGAGGGGGAUCCCCCACACUGGUACUGAGACACGGACCAGACUCCUACGGGAGGCAGCAGUGAGGAAUAUUGGACAAUGGAGGCAACUCUGAUCCAGCCAUGCCGCGUGCAGGAAGACUGCCCUAUGGGUUGUAAACUGCUUUUAUACAGGAAGAAACACUCUCACGUGUGAGAGCUUGACGGUACUGUAAGAAUAAGGAUCGGCUAACUCCGUGCCAGCAGCCGCGGUAAUACGGAGGAUCCAAGCGUUAUCCGGAAUCAUUGGGUUUAAAGGGUCCGUAGGUGGAUAAUUAAGUCAGAGGUGAAAUCCUGCAGCUCAACUGUAGAAUUGCCUUUGAUACUGGUUGUCUUGAGUUAUUAUGAAGUAGUUAGAAUAUGUAGUGUAGCGGUGAAAUGCAUAGAUAUUACAUAGAAUACCAAUUGCGAAGGCAGAUUACUAAUAAUAUACUGACACUGAUGGACGAAAGCGUGGGGAGCGAACAGGAUUAGAUACCCUGGUAGUCCACGCCGUAAACGAUGGUCACUAGCUGUUCGAACUUCGGUUUGAGUGGCUAAGCGAAAGUGAUAAGUGACCCACCUGGGGAGUACGUUCGCAAGAAUGAAACUCAAG
rnacentral:rRNA from 1 species